CUACGGGUCGCUGCAGUGGGGAAUAUUGCACAAUGGGCGAAAGCCUGAUGCAGCAACGCCGCGUGAGUGAUGAAGGUCUUCGGAUUGUAAAGCUCUGUUCUUGGGGAAGAAUAAAUGACGGUACCCAAGGAGAAAGCCCCGGCUAACUACGUGCCAGCAGCCGCGGUAAUACGUAGGGGGCAAGCGUUAUCCGGAAUCACUGGGCGUAAAGGGUGCGUAGGCGGCUUAGCAAGUCAGAAGUGAAAGGCAUUGGCUCAACCAAUGUAAGCUUUUGAAACUGUUAGGCUUGAGUGCAGGAGAGGAAAGUGGAAUUCCUAGUGUAGCGGUGAAAUGCGUAGAUAUUAGGAGGAACACCAGUGGCGAAGGCGACUUUCUGGACUGUAACUGACGCUGAGGCACGAAAGCGUGGGGAGCGAACAGGAUUAGAUACCCGCGUAGUC
rnacentral:rRNA from 1 species